UGGGGAAUUUUGGACAAUGGGCGCAAGCCUGAUCCAGCCAUGCCGCGUGUCUGAAGAAGGCCUUCGGGUUGUAAAGGACUUUUGUCAGGGAAGAAAAGGAUAGGGUUAAUACCCCUGUCUGAUGACGGUACCUGAAGAAUAAGCACCGGCUAACUACGUGCCAGCAGCCGCGGUAAUACGUAGGGUGCGAGCGUUAAUCGGAAUUACUGGGCGUAAAGCGAGCGCAGACGGUUACUUAAGCAGGAUGUGAAAUCCCCGGGCUCAACCUGGGAACUGCGUUCUGAACUGGGUAGCUAGAGUAUGUCAGAGGGGGGUAGAAUUCCACGUGUAGCAGUGAAAUGCGUAGAGAUGUGGAGGAAUACCGAUGGCGAAGGCAGCCCCCUGGGAUAAUACUGACGUUCAUGCUCGAAAGCGUGGGUAGCAAACAGGAUUAGAUACCCUGGUAGUCCACGCCCUAAACGAUGUCAAUUAGCUGUUGGGCAACUUGAUUGCUUAGUAGCGUAGCUAACGCGUGAAAUUGACCGCCUGGGGAGUACGGUCGCAAGAUUA
rnacentral:rRNA from 1 species